rnacentral:rRNA from 1 species
UACGGAGGAUCCAAGCGUUAUCCGGAAUCAUUGGGUUUAAAGGGUCCGUAGGCGGUUUAGUAAGUCAGUGGUGAAAGCCCAUCGCUCAACGGUGGAACGGCCAUUGAUACUGCUAGACUUGAAUUAUUGGGAAGCAACUAGAAUAUGUAGUGUAGCGGUGAAAUGCUUAGAGAUUACAUGGAAUACCAAUUGCGAAGGCAGGUUGCUACCAAUACAUUGACGCUGAUGGACGAAAGCGUGGGGAGCGAACAGG